AGGAAUAUUGGUCAAUGGACGAGAGUCUGAACCAGCCAAGUAGCGUGCAGGAAGACGGCCCUAUGGGUUGUAAACUGCUUUUAUAAGGGAAUAAAGUUAGUCUCGUGAGACUUUUUGCAUGUACCUUAUGAAUAAGGACCGGCUAAUUCCGUGCCAGCAGCCGCGGUAAUACGGAAGGUCCGGGCGUUAUCCGGAUUUAUUGGGUUUAAAGGGAGCGUAGGCCGGAGAUUAAGCGUGUUGUGAAAUGUAGACGCUCAACGUCUGCACUGCAGCGCGAACUGGUUUCCUUGAGUACGCACAAAGUGGGCGGAAUUCGUGGUGUAGCGGUGAAAUGCUUAGAUAUCACGAAGAACUCCGAUUGCGAAGGCAGCUCACUGGAGCGCAACUGACGCUGAAGCUCGAAAGUGCGGGUAUCGAACAGGAUUAGAUACCCUGGUAGUCCGCACGGUAAACGAUGGAUGCCCGCUGUUGGUCUGAAUAGGUCAGCGGCCAAGCGAAAGCAUUAAGCAUCCCACCUGGGGAGUACGCCGGCAACGGUGAAACUCAAAGGAAUUGACGGGGGCCCGCACAAGCGGAGGAACAUGUGGUUUAAUUCGAUGAUACGCGAGGAACCUUACCCGGGCUUGAAUUGCAGAGGAAGGAUUUGGAGACAAUGACGCCCUUCGGGGUCUCUGUGAAGGUGCUGCAUGGUUGUCGUCAGCUCGUGCCGUGAGGUGUCGGCUUAAGUGCCAUAACGAGCGCAACCCCUCUCCUUAGUUGCCAUCAGGUCAAGCUGGGCACUCUGGGGACACUGCCACCGUAAGGUGUGAGGAAGGUGGGGAUGACGUCAAAUCAGCACGGCCCUUACGUCCGGGGCUACACACGUGUUACAAUGGCAGGUACAGAGAGACGGUCCCUUGCAAAACGGAUCAAAUCCUUAAAGCCUGUCUCAGUUCGGACUGGGGUCUGCAACCCGACCCCACGAAGCUGGAUUCGCUAGUAAUCGCGCAUCAGCCAUGGCGCGGUGAAUACGUUCCCG
rnacentral:rRNA from 1 species